rnacentral:rRNA from 1 species
GACGAACGCUGGCGGCGUGCCUAAUACAUGCAAGUAGAACGCUGAAGGAGGAGCUUGCUUCUCUGGAUGAGUUGCGAACGGGUGAGUAACGCGUAGGUAACCUGCCUGGUAGCGGGGGAUAACUAUUGGAAACGAUAGCUAAUACCGCAUAAGAGUAGAUGUCGCAUGACAUUUGCUUAAAAGGUGCAAUUGCAUCACUACCAGAUGGACCUGCGCUGUAUUAGCUAGUUGGUGAGGUAACGGCUCACCAAGGCAACGAUACAUAGCCGACCUGAGAGGGUGAUCGGCCACACUGGGACUGAGACACGGCCCAGACUCCUACGGGAGGCAGCAGUAGGGAAUCUUCGGCAAUGGACGGAAGUCUGACCGAGCAACGCCGCGUGAGUGAAGAAGGUUUUCGGAUCGUAAAGCUCUGUUGUAAGAGAAGAACGAGUGUGAGAGUGGAAAGUUCACACUGUGACGGUAUCUUACCAGAAAGGGACGGCUAACUACGUG